UGGGCAUUCUUUUACUGAUCAUGGUUUGAAGUGGCCAUUGAAUCGCAUGUCGUAAUUUUUAAUUAGUAUUUUGUACCUGGCCCAGAAUAUAACGAGCUGCUUCCCAUCUCUUUUCACAUUAGUUGGUGUUGCGUGAAUUCCUGCUGAAUAAUGCCUUGGCCUCAUUUUUGAGUGGCGGGUGGACGUGGGCAUCUGAUUCCAUUUAUCUCUUUAUGGUUCGCAUGGAAUCUAAUCGUCAGCGAGCUGUCACUGAAUCGAAGGAAUUCAGUGGGGAAAAGAAACUAGUGUGCCAAGAAGAUGCUCCGUACUCAUUGGUGACGGAGGGACUUCGGGUUAGAGAGGAGAUAAUCAUCUCGUUUUUGGAGGAUUUGAAAACUCCCGAAUAUUUGUCAAAUAUUCGGGAAUUUGUCCCGAAUAUUUGAAAACCGAAUGUCCUAGAUAGUCGCCUAGGAACUGUUGAGCCUCUACGGUCUACAGGAAUCUGUGCCAAUUGAAAGUGGGCACUUUAUUUGAGGACAGCCGUCCUAGUUUGUAACAUAGUUCUGACUUUUUUUCAGCAGGAAGUGGUGUCGAAACUUGCAGCUUAGAAGAAAUCCCAAAUUUUGUAUACGUCUCAUGCCACAGUGUUUUUAAUUCGGUUUAACUUCAUUUAUAGUCAGCAUUGUAUUGUCAUAACGUUAGAUUUUUUUUAUGAUCAGGUUCUUAGGGUUUUCAUAUAUAACUCCAUGGCCUGGC